UACGUAGGGACCCGAGCGUUAUCCGGAUUCAUUGGGUUUAAAGGGUGCGUAGGUGGAUUGAUAAGUCAGUGGUGAAAUCUCCAGGCUUAACCUGGAAACUGCCAUUGAUACUGUCAAUCUUGAAUAUGUUUGAUGUGGGCGGAAUAUGACAUGUAGCGGUGAAAUGCUUAGAUAUGUCAUAGAACACCGAUUGCGAAGGCAGCUCACAAAGCCAUUAUUGACACUGAGGCACGAAAGUGUGGGGAUCAAACAGG
rnacentral:rRNA from 1 species